AAUUUAUUCAUUGGUCAAGCUUAACUGUCUGUACUGGUGUGAUGAAUUUCUACCUUCUGAGGAAUCAUUAUGCCAUUCACUUGGUGUGAUGGGGAAUCAGGACUGUUACUUUGAAAAAAUUAGAGUGUUUAAAGCAAACUAACGUCUGAAUACAUUAGCAUGGAAUAAUAAAAUAGGACGGGUUGGUUCUAUUUUAUUGGUUUCUAGGAUCACUGUA
rnacentral:rRNA from 1 species